AAGGAUUUUAGUUAUAAAUUACUAACUAUAAAACCUUGGGCCUGUGUCCGCCAAGGAACCUAAAUACGUGUUAUAAAACCAGUUUGUCUGAGAAUCAAAGAAAAUAACCAAAACUUUCAACAACGGAUCUCUUGGUUCUGGCAUCGAUGAAGAACGCAGCGAAAUGCGACAAGUAAUGUGAAUUGCAGAAUUCCGUGAAUCAUCGAAUCUUUGAACGCACAUUGCGCCCUCUGGUAUUCUGGAGGGCAUGCCUGUCCGAGCGUCAUUGCUAUACUCAAGCCCAGCUUGUGUUGGACUCACUGUCUUGUUGGACAGUAGCCCCAAAGGCAGUGGCAGGGUCCCAGUCCGGUCUUUUCAUGCCGUAUGGGGGAAUUGUCACCCGCUUGAAAAGCUGGCCGGGCCUUUUU
rnacentral:rRNA from 1 species